rnacentral:misc_RNA from 1 species
GAUGAAGAACGCAGCGAAAUGCGAUAAGUAAUGUGAAUUGCAGAAUUCAGUGAAUCAUCGAAUCUUUGAACGCACAUUGCGCCCGCUAGUAUUCUGGCGGGCAUGCCUGUCCGAGCGUCAUUUCAACCCUCAAGCCCCCGGGCUUGGUGUUGGAGAUCGGCGAGCCUCCGCGCCCGCCGUCCCCUAAAUCUAGUGGCGGUCUCGCUGUAGCUUCCUCUGCGUAGUAGCACACCUCGCACUGGGAAACAGCGCGGCCACGCCGUUAAACCCCCAACUUCUGAACGUUUGACCUCGGAUCAGGUAGGAAUACCCGCUGAACUUAAGCAUAUCAAUAAGCGGAGGA